rnacentral:rRNA from 1 species
GAUGAACGCUGGCGGCGUGCCUAAUACAUGCAAGUCGAGCGAACGGACGAGAAGCUUGCUUCUCUGAUGUUAACGGCGGACGGGUGAGUAAAACGUGGAUAACCUACCUAUAAGACUGGGAUAACUUCGGGAAACCGGAGCUAAUACCGGAUAAUAUUUUGAACCGCAUGGUUCAAAAGUGAAAGACGGUCUUGCUGUCACUUAUAGAUGGAUCCGCGCUGCAUUAGCUAGGUGGUAAGGUAACGGCUUACCAAGGCAACGAUGCAUAGCCGACCUGAGAGGGUGAUCGGCCACACUGGAACUGAGACACGGUCCAGACUCCUACGGGCGGCAGCAGUAGGGAAUCUUCCGAAAUGGGCGAAAGCCUGACGGAGCAACGCCGCGUGAGUGAUGAAGGUCUUCGGAUCGUAAAACUCUGUUAUUAGGGAAGAACAUAUGUGUAAGUAACUGUGCACAUCUUGACGGUACCUAAUCAGAAAGCCACGGCUAACUACGUG